AAGUAAUACUAGCACAAAGAUUAUGUACAUUUUUUUUCAAUUUAACCUUUAAGGGAUUGUCUCCCUUAAUAAUUGUCCACUUAUCUUUAGCUGGAUGGUCAGUGGAUUCGUCUGGGGAUGGCAGCUUUUUA